UACGUAGGCAGCAAGCGUUGUUCGGAAUCACUGGGCUUAAAGCGUGUGUAGGCGGAUCUGUAAGUACCUUGUGAAAUCCCACGGCUCAACCGUGGAACUGCUUGGUAUACUGCGGGUCUUGAGCCACCUAGGGGCAAGUGGAACAAACGGUGGAGCGGUGAAAUGCGUAGAUAUCGUUUGGAACGCCAAUGGUGAAAACAACUUGCUGGGGGUGUGCUGACGCUGAGACACGAAAGCCAGGGGAGCAAACAGG
rnacentral:rRNA from 1 species